rnacentral:rRNA from 1 species
GACGAACGCUGGCGGUGUGCUUCACACAUGCAAGUCGAACGAGGUAGCAAUACCUAGUGGCGGACGGGUGAGUAACGCGUGGGAAUCUGCCUUUAGAUGGGGGAUAACGGGCCGAAAGGUCCGCUAAUACCGCAUAUGCCGCAAGGUGAAAGGAGUAAUCCGUCUAAAGAUGAGCCCGCGUCCGAUUAGCUAGUUGGUAGAGUAAGAGCCUACCAAGGCGACGAUCGGUAGCUGGUCUGAGAGGAUGAUCAGCCACAAUGGGACUGAGACACGGCCCAUACUCCUACGGGAGGCAGCAGUGGGGAAUUUUACGCAAUGGGGGAAACCCUGACGUAGCGACACCGCGUGAGCGAAGAAGCCCUUUGGGGUGUAAAGCUCUGUCAGCUGGAACGAAAACAAUGACGGUACCAGCAGAGGAAGCAUCGGCUAACUACGUGCCAACAGCCGCCGCGG